GCAGCCAGAGGAACGAUGCGCGGGAUACAUGAACUCCUUCUCCCCGGGCCGGAGGGGGAGCGAACCCCGCAGCAAACGGGUUGGCGCACGCCCUGCACGGGGGGAGGACUCGCCCCUGAGGCACGGAAAGGAGAUGGGCCCCCGAGCGCUCUGCUCCGCCCCGCCCGCAGACAACGCCCCGUCCCGUCCCGUCCCACCCCACCCCGCACAGCUGCACGCUGCAGCCCGCAGCCGGACCCCGCACCUCAGCUCAGCUCAGCUCACCUGCCGGGCCGGGCACAGCGCGCCUGCGACCCUGGCCCCGCGGCGGCCACGCCCACGCUGACCGGGCACGCCCCGCCCGGGACGGCCGCGAGAGAGGCGCGCAUGCGCAGACUGCCCGCCUCCCUCACUCCCCCGCCCGCACUGGGCUGGCGGCCUGGCCGGGGCCGAGGCGUGGCCGGGGUGCCGGGGUCACGCCACGGCUGGCGCUCGGGGCGGCAGCGGGCCAGCGGGCGGAACGGGCGGUCGUUGCUCCGGUUUCCACCCUCCGCCCGGGUGCUUAGAAAAAGCCUUCAAAGGGGGGUUGUGCUCUCAGCAGGGUCCUUUUUAGUUUAUGAAGCUCACAAGCUGAUUUCUGGCUUUGCUGAGGUUCAUGCAAGCUUCAAAGUGGAAGAAGUUAUAGAGCAAGCAGACUACCUGUAUGGGAGUGGAGAAACUGAAAAGCUGUAUCGGUUGCUGGUUCAGCAUAAAAAUAGUGAUGACGCAGAGUUGUUAUGGCGGCUGGCGAGGGCAUCACGAGAUCUUGCUCAGCUUAGCAGCACUUCUGCAGAGCAGAGAAAACAACUGGCGUAUGAAGCCCUUGAGUAUACAAAAAAGGCACUUGAAAAGAAUGAAUCAAAUUUUGCAGCACACAAGUGGUAUGGAAUUUGCCUCAGUGAUGUUGGAGAUUUUGAAGGAAUCAAGACUAAAAUUGGAAAUGCCUUUAUUAUCAAAGAGCACUUCGAGAGAGCUGUUGAACUGAAUCCAAAAGAUGCAACGACAAUUCAUCUUAUCGGCAUUUGGUGUUACUCCUUUGCUGAAAUGCCAUGGUACCAAAGAAAAAUAGCUGCAACACUAUUUGCCACACCACCAACCUCCACAUUUGAAGAGGUACAAUAUGAAAAUGUUUCACAGGCUCUGCGUUACUUCCAUAUGGCAGAGGAAGCAGACCCAAAUUUCUACAGCAAAAAUUUACUCUAUUUGGGGAAGACAUACUUGAAGUUAAACAAUAAAAAGUUGGCACUUCUGUGGUUAAGUAAAGCGAAGGAUUAUCCAGCACAUACAGAAGAGGACAAACAGAGGAGUCCAGAGCUGCUCACCUGAGAGAGGUGGAAUUCUCUCUGUUCCCUCAGUGAAUGUGUAAAAUGCAACAUUCAUUGGGCACUAGGCUGGAUAGUCCAAUAAGAAGGAAACUGGCCUGUGGAAAGAAAUUGGAAUUCUUGUCUCUGCCUUGGCAGAGGUACAAAAAGAAGCUUUGGAGUUGCUUAAUUCUAUAUAAGAAACAAGAUAAUGGGAAUUCAGUGCCUCAGGUUUGAGCAGCAUAGGAAGAAGACCCCAAAUACUACUUUGGUUGAUGGAAGCUGUUAAUAAAAGUACAGCCUAAACUUGCUGUCUCCAUCAUGCUUCAAUUAAAUUGUCAGUUGGAAGAUAUGUUUCAUCAUGUGAUCCUGUCUGUUGAUUUACAUGGGAAUAAAGAGCUUCAUGGACCUAUAUGAAGAGGUAAAGAAGGGCAAAAAUUGCUCAGACUAACAAACCAAACCUAUGCCAAGUUAGUAGUAAAAAUCCACAGCCAAGAUACAAUCUAGAGCUUUCAUUCUAGCCUCAGACCACAAACUAGUUAGAAGAUUUUUUUUUUCCCCACUAUGGUGAAGUAAUUAUUUUUCUAUUGGUAAAUCAUCAAAAUGAAGAGUUUGAUAUGUCAGAAAUCCCAGGGCGGAUGACAUGUAGUGUUCCAGAGACAUUCGUCGAGUUUUCUGCAUUCAUACACUACAGAAACAUUUGCCACAUGCAAAACUGCUUCCAGUAGCCCUUGUGGCAGAGGCAUCUUCUGUGCCUUUUCAGCUGCAGAAAACAGCACCUGCAAGAAAGCCUGUCCAGGUACCAAGAGAAGACUGUUCGGUGUUUGGACAACGUGAGUUGCUUCCAGUAACAAACAGAAACCAUGAACCACGGGUAGUGUUAUCUCACCAGUUCCCUCUGAUCCCCAGCCCUUGCCGUCUUCCUCCCCCGCGUCCAAGUACAGCUGGAGUGCAAACGGGGAAAGAAAAGAUAACAAUGCAGUUAGUACUGAAAUUCACAGUACACACACCUCCCCACCUCCCCCAAAGGAAACAAAUUGUUGUGUUGGGUUUUUUUCUCAGGUUGUAUUUUUUUUAAGGACAAACUAUUGAAGUUAAGAAACACCUAAAAUUAGGAAAACAAUAAAGCAAGUACAUUCUU